CUCGCUCUGUCGCCCAGGCUGGAGUGCAAUGGCAUGAUCUCUGCUCACUGCAACCUCCGUCUCCCGGGUUCACGCAAUUCUCCUGCCUCAGCCUCCUGAGUAGCUGGGAUUACAGGCGCGUGCCAUCACAGCCUGCUAAUUUUUGAACUUUUAGUAGGGACGGGGUUUCACCAUGUUGUUCAGGCUGGUCCUGAACUCCUGACCUUGUGAUCCACCUGCCUCUGCCUCCCAAAGUGUUGGGAUUACAGGCGUGAGCCACCAUGCUCAGCCCGUAACUGAUUGCUUUUAAAGACAACAACCAAGAUACCUAUGUUUUUCCAUCGAAACUUCCUCAUUCGCCCAGGACCAUCGCUGUGCAGAUCCCCAUCAGCAAGGUACCUCUCUUGGUAUAAACGUAGCUGUCGCUUAUCAUCAUCCAACAUAGUUUUCCUGCAACAGGAGAAAUAAGGUGUUCAAAACAAGGACCAUUCUGGCUGGUUACAGGGCUUGUCUUAAGAUGUACCCUAUUACUCAGAAGGGCUUAUUGGGAUACUGACAUGUGUAUUUUCUUGAUUUGACUCUGCAGUUCCUCAUCAGAAGGAAGUACUUCAUCAAUUACGUCCUCUUCAUAUUCAUCAAUUUCUUCCCCAUCAUACUCAUCUUCGCUUCCCACAUCACUUCCUGACACCUCUGCCUCAUCCUCCAGAUCGCUUCAGGAGUUCUUCUUCAUCAUCAUCUUCAUGGUCUUCCAGUGCCAGAUCAUUACCAGAGUCACUGUGUUCAUCCUACAAAAUCAGCAUCAUAUCCAAAUUAAGCAGAAUAAAAUGCGUCCUCAAUGAAAAAAGGAUUUAUAAACAUCUGCCCAAAUACCUCAUUCUAGGAAAUUGUUUCUGAUAAGAUGCCAAACUUAGAAUUCUCAAGAACUGAGGGGAAAAAAACACUUGAGGGCAGCAAUACAUGGAGCUCAGUUAUGAUUACUUUGUUCCCUUCAUACUCACCUCAUCACUAUCAAACUCAUUAUCAUUUGAAACAAGCCGAAAGUCUCCAAAUUCCUCCUCCUCGUCUUCCUCUUCCCUAAAAUGUAAAUCAAUGAAUCAAUAAAUAAGUUGUUGAAAGCAAA
rnacentral:lncRNA from 1 species